GACGAACGCUGGCGGCGUGCUUAACACAUGCAAGUCGAACGGAUUGCUUGGUGCUUGCACUCAGUGGUUAGUGGCGAACGGGUGAGUAACACGUGAGUAACCUGCCCCCUUCUUUGGGAUAAGCACCUGAAAGGGUGUCUAAUACUGAUUAUUCUGCUGGAAUCGCAUGGUUUUGGUUGGAAUGGUUUUUUCUGGUGGGGGGUGGGCUGGCGGCUUAUCGGCGUGUUGGUGGGGUACUGGAUUACCAAGGCUUUGACGGGUAACCGGCCUGAGGGGUGGCACGGGAAGAUGGGGGCUGAGAGUCGGACUAGACUCCGACGGGAGACAGCAGGGGGGAAUAUUGCGAGAUGGGUGAAAGUAUGAUGCAGCGACGCGGGGUGAGGGAUGAAGGGGUUGGGGAUGUAAACCUUUUUCGCUUUUGACCAAGGCAGCAUUUGGGUGUUGUUGAGGGUAUGAGGUAAAGAAGCGCCGGCUAACUACGUGCCAGCAGCCGCCGUAACAC
rnacentral:rRNA from 1 species